AUGUUCGUGCUCGUCGUGCUUUCCCUCGUCACCUUCUUCUGCUCCAACCGACGCCGAGUGGCGCAGAGCUCGUCCCCGCGGGGCGUAGAAGACAAUCAAGACAUCGAGCUCGGGCACGGCAGGAGUGCCACCGUGGGGCUCGACGAGGCCGUCCUGGCCGCGUACCCGACGACGGUGUACUCGUCGUCCAUCCAGCAUCAGGCGGCGGCUACCGUGUGCCUGGCAGAGUACGCCGACGGCGACGAGCUGCGGGUGCUUCCCGGCUGCGCGCACGCGUUCCACCGGCGGUGCGUCGACCAAUGGCUCUGGCGGCGGCCCAGCUGCCCGCUCUGCCGCACGUCGCCGCAGAGCAGAGCACCACCGGCGCAUGCUAACCGUCACAGCGUCAGCAGCAUGCCGAUGUAG
rnacentral:rRNA from 1 species